GGGCGAAUGGUUUAGUGGUAUAAUACUCCCUUAGCAUAAUUCUGUCGAUUACUUGGGAGUGGUCCAGGGUUCGAUUCCCUGUUCGUCCA
rnacentral:tRNA from 1 species